UUGUGUGUUUCACGUUAUCAAACUAAAAAAGUGAUAUUUUGAUAAAUCUAUUUUUUCCAAAUAUGCCAAAAUCACCACUGUGGCUCGCCGCUAAACUUUCUGUCGUCGCAUUAUCAGCUUCAACCCCACUGUAGCAGUUCUGCUCGUGUUGAAAACCGAAGCUCCAUUUUCUUCUGAGCAACGGUUGCGUCUUUUUCAUCCUUACUGUCGUGUCCCAUCGUUUCAAAAUUCUUUUUUUUUUUCAAAAUUCAUCUCAUGUUCGUGGGACCAUUUAGUUAGGAAAAAUGAACUUAGUUUUGGUUUCUAGUUACAAAAACUACCUCAGUAGUAAGAAGUGACUUAGAAUGUAAUAAAAAGAUGAAAAGUGUCUUAGAAUGAAAAUAACUCUUAGGACAAACAUUCUUUCUACGGUGAGUUGAAGAAAGAGGAAAUGUCAAUUGAGUUCAUGCAAAAUCUGAUGCCAAAAUUACAAGUAUUUAACUAUCCAUAACUGAACAAAGGUUUCAAAGGAUAGACCUGAAAGAACAUCUUAAUCGCAAAGAUUCCCAUUAGGUACACACAUAAGAAAAGCUGCAAACUUUCACCUUAAGAAUGCUUAAAUUAGUGUUCGUUUUUUGAUCAUUUGGGUUUGGUUUGGAUCGGAGCAGGUGAUUCUUUUCUUGUAGCUGGUACAGAUGUUGUAGGGACUAAGCUUAAGUUGGCCUUUGAGACUGGAAUCCAUCGCACCAUUGGAAUCGACUUGGUAACACAAUCACUAACCCGUCUUGUGUUUGUGACCUUUUGUUGGAGACACUCAUUGUUUUUGUUCCUCUUUUGUAGGUUGCUAUGAGUGUGAACGAUAUUGUUACCUCUGGUGCUAAGCCUCUCUUCUUCCUAGAUUACUUUGCUACUAGUCGUCUCCAUGUAGACCUUGCAGAGAAGGUAUGGUUGCUUCAUCUCUGACUUUUAGGACUUGAUAUUCAUGAAGAGUGUCUAUGCUACUGUUUCCAGGUUAUUAAAGGGGGCAAUCAGACUGUGCUCUCUUAGGAGGAGAAAUAUGUUUUUGCUUAUGGCAAUGUAGCUUAUGCAUGCUUCAUGCUUGGUCUUGGUUUGAUUGGUUUUUGUUUGGCUGUUUAAGACUGCGGAGAUGCCAGACUUUUACGCAGAGGGAGAGUAUGAUCUCAGUGGGUUUGCAGUUGGGACAGUGAAGAAAGAUUCUGUUAUAAAUGGGAAGAACAUAGUUGAUAUAUUGGUUGGCAUUUUGGUGGAGGAAAAUAGUAGUCAAGUGGUUUCUAUAACCGGGAUGGGCGGUCUUGGUAAAACCACUCUUGCAAGACAAGUUUUAUAAUCGUGAGAUAAUAAAAAGAAAAUUUUCAAGACUCGCGUGGAAGAAUGUCUGGAAGUCGAUCUUGCGACAACUCAGGCCAGAAUACAAGGUGACAGAAGAGGAACUUCAAGAAAAGGUCGUUGGAGUGUUGGAAACACAAAAAUAUUUGGUCGGUCAUUGAUAAUCUAUGGAGAGAAGGAGAUUGGACCGAAUCAAGAAUGUUUUUUUGCCCAAAUAAAGGAUAGAAGGUACUACUUGCUUCUCGCAAUGAGCAAGUGGCAUUACAUGCAGAUCCAAAAUGUGUUAUUUUCAAACCAGAUUGCCUAACUUUUGAAGAAAGUUGGAAUCUUUUCCAAAGGAUAUCAUUUCCUUUCAAAGACACAAUCGGUAAGUUUCAGGGAUCUAUUUGGAUUUUUUUAAAAGUAAAUCAAGUAAAACUGACUACAGUAUCGACAAGACAAUAUGAUCCUUUCGAAUAUGCUUGUAAUUGAUGUUGUGUAAAGUAUAAGGUUGAUGAUGAGAUGGAAGAGAUGUGUAAGCAGAUGAUCAAACAUUGUGGAGGUUAUACCGUUAGCUUUAAAAGUGUUAGGAGGGUUGUUAGUGUUGGGCCUAAUUAUUAAGCCUAAUGGCUCAAAUAAUAUAUGGCAAAAUGUGAAAACAAAUGGGUCUAUGGGUUCUUAUAAAAAGCCUUGUUGGCUUUAAUGAAAUGAAGUUAACAACAUCCCACAUUGGUUGGGAGAGUUGAUUUUGAGGAGUAUAUAUAUGUCUUCAUGACAUGAGAGGUUAAACAGAUCAGAGGAAGAGAGAGCUCCCCACGCGCGCGCCGCCGCCGUCCGGCUCGGGCUCGGGCUCGGGUCGGGUCUCGGGUCUCGGGUCUCGGGUCUCGGGUCUCGGGUCUUGGGUCUUGGCCCGAUAAGAAUAUUCUUUUUGGACCAAGUUAAGCUCAAAGUUUUGCCAUUUAAUUCCCAAAAAACGACAUGCAUUUUAUUUUAAACAACACGUAGUUCGUUUAAAAACAACACGCUGUCUCUCUUCUUGACGAUAAGUUUAAACGAGAAAAGUUCUUGCGGAGGAAGUUUCGUAACGCCUCGCCUCCGAGAUCCUCGCGAGAUUUCCGCCAACGUGCGCACGUGCGGCAUUAGUUACGGAAAAUGGCUCGUCUUCUCUUCUUUAAAAACUCGUCUCCUCCUUCAUUUUUCUUUAAGUUUUUACGCAACAAAAAUCACCAGAUCCCUCAACGUAAGUCUAGAGAGUGUUUCGUAGAGUUUAUAGUUCGAUAGGGCGAUCACGAGUGAGGCGUGAUUCGUCUGCCAUGGUUGUAUCCUGGGACUCUAUAUUCGUACAGUCCCGUCUCACUAACGGAGCGAAUAUUUUGAGUUAAGGAAAGAGAUCAUAUCUCGACUCCAUGUCUCUUUGCGAAUACGAUUUCUUAUCGUUCUUGUAUUCGUCUUUUACAUUCGUUUAUUUCCUUAACAUCGCUUUUAUUCUAUCGUUUAUGUCAGUCCGGUUUUCCGGCUUCUACAAUCUUAACUCAAAAUCGCUUUAUGUUUAAAGCUUUAAUCGGGUUGAUAAACGAUUAAUAGAAACGGGUUUUGGAACCGUGUUUGCGAUUUGCUUUCUAGCAUUUCCGCGAAACGUUUUGUUCUUAUCUCACAACGAUGUUUGCGAUUUGCUAUACGCUUAUCCGCGAAACGUUUCUGCCUAAAUGUGUUUGCGAUUUGCCUUAGAGCACUUCCGCGAAACGUUUCUGCUUUAUUUCAUUACGCUUUGCGGAUUGCUCUCUAGCAUUUUCGCAAAACGUUGAUACAUUCUUUAAACGUUAUAUACAUGAAUCGUUUCAGUAACCGUUUUCUUAAGCGAGUUUGUGAAACAUUCUAAGUCUAUAAAAAUGGUUUCUGCGAACGCUUUUAAGCGAGUUUGCAAAACGUUUUUUCCAGACUUAUAUCGAUAUGAUUUGGUUCAAAUACCAAAAAUGAACAUCGAUUUUAGACUAUUAUUUUCUUUAAAAUAAUAUGUUAUUUGUUGAAUGGAGUACUAAUCCGGUUUUUCAUGUUUUCUCUACAGAAAAAUGACAAACGAUAACAACACCCCCAUUGACACCACAGAUGUCAUUCAGACUCCACUCAACGCUGCAGCAACUGAUGCAACUGGCGUGACAACCGCUGCAGCAACAACGAGCACUAUCCUCCCUGCGGGAAAUGCUGCUGAUGAAACCACUCGCCGUAGCCUAUUCGGUGCUGGUCUUUAUCAGACGGGUUCAGUAUCAGCAACUGCAAGUGGUCCGGUGGCAGUUCAAACUCCUCCGGCUGUACCUAGCUUGUUCACUCAAGGACUGAUGCCAGACAAGUUUGAUGGCAAAGGCUUCAAAACGUGGC